AUUCGCUGCGCCGCUUACUCGUCAAGGCACGCCGCGCGCUGACUGGCCGCGGCCACCAGUCUCCAGGCCCCAGACGCCCCUCUCCGCCCCCCCGCCCCCGCCCCCCAGCAAAUAAUAAACAAUCGAGUAAAAUUCUAAGGAAGGAGAGAGAGGAGAGGGAAAAAGGGAGAGGGCGCACUAGAAACCAAUCCUUCGCGCGCUGGCGGUGGGAGGGUUCAAGGGGGGACGCGAGAGGACAGCGGACGGGAGGAAGGCAGCCGACUUGGGGCGGUGGGUCUGCCAGCGAAGAGGAGGCGUCGGGGGAGGAAAGUUGCAGCGCACUCGACUGGGCGCGCCUGGCGGGGUGUGUAGAGUCUGGGACACAGAAGAUAAAUCCUCAGUCUUGUCCAAGAUCAGGAGAAUAAGAAGACUCUACCCCCCUAAAACCAGAAGUCCAAAGGGCCAAAGUAAAGGCGAAUGUGAAAUUAACUGGCUUUGCAGAAGAGGAUCCCAGGAAAAAUCGUCUGUCUUGAUCAAAGCCCUGAAUAAAAGAGUAUAAAAAAUAUUCUUCCUUGAAAAUUCACAACUAUGGUGUGGUCCGUAUGUAAUAUUAUGACCAAAAUUCAUGAUACCAUGGAAUUAUUUUAAAAACUUCAUGAGCCCCAGUUUGUGGUGCUUUUAACAACUGGCAGAAGGAAAGACACAUCCUCUUGGAGGGCUAUCUUGAGCCUAGGCCCCAAAGAACUUCCAUAAUCAUAAUCAGAAAACACAAAACAUAUAAUAAGCAAGGCUCCAUGUAGGAGCAGACAGAAACAAAAUGUAAGGUCAGAUACACAAAGGCUGGGGUAUGAGAAUAAGCUGACACAGAAAAUAAGUGUACUUAAUAGGUUUAAACAAAAAGGAAGUUUGAAAAUAGAAGAAAGGAACAAGAGUCUAUAAAAAACAACUGAGUAGAUUUGAAAUCAAAAUACUUCUUUGUUUUUCUUCCCAGCUAGAUAUUAUGUCCUUGAAGACACAGGGAUCAGGCUAAACACUAUAUGUUAUCGUUUGUCAAUUGAAGGAAGUUAGAAACAAAGUACUCAAUUUUUUUUGAAACCCAGCAGUAAGAAUGAGAGUUGUGACUACAUUUUUAAAAUGUAAAUGUAAAAACUCCUGUUGUAAAUGUUAAUCAAUCUCUUCUAGAGGAAAGGAAGACAAAAUCAAAAUUAAUGCAAUGCUUCCGGCUGACUGGCCUCCAGCAAAUGGCAUUGAGCUUUGUAAGUGGUCCAUCUACUCCAUUUCUCAUCUUGCAAA
rnacentral:lncRNA from 1 species